CCCUUAGAUGUUCUGGGCCGCACGCGCGCUACACUGAUCAGUGCAACAAGCAUCCGUCCUUGGCCGACAGGCCCGGGCAAUCUUUGAACGCUGAUCGUGAUGGGGAUAGACUUUUGCAAUUUUUGGUCUUCAACGAGGAAUUCCUAGUAAACGCAAGUCAUCAACUUGCAUUGAUUACGUCCCUGCCCUUUGUACACACCGCCCGUCGCACCUACCGAUUGAAUGGUCCGGUGAAGCCUCCGGAUUGGCGUGCACCCUCGGGUGCUGCCGAGAAGUUGGCUAAACCUUACCACUUAGAGGAAGGAGAAGUCGUAACA
rnacentral:rRNA from 1 species